AAUGACCUUGACCACAUGUUCCCGGAAGGCAAAAUCUUCAGGAAUUAUAUGGACGAUAUUAAACAUGCGGCAGUGGUUGACCAGAGUUUUGAGUUUCAGUGUAAAAUGAAACGUUUACACAGCAUGGAAACUAGACAAUUAACUUAUCAAGGUUUAUGUUUACGAAUGUCGUCUUUUAAUAGAACAGGGAAAAGAUCAAUUAUCUGUAUUGAAUGACUGGAGAAUACAAACCUAGAACAAAUGUAUAUAUAGAGAAAUACAGAGAAGAGACAACAACCUGACCAAAAGGCAGAAAACAGCCAAAUACCUCCAAUGAAUCUACAACACACUGAGAAAAUUAUGCACAGAGGCAUCAGCACAGCUGCCACCUAAACAAAAAUGUGUUCUACUCCUGGUAACAUGGGUUCAAGCAAAAGGCUUUGCCAUCCAAUACAUGUAUUUCAUUUUGGAAGAAAAAGAACAACAGUCCUGAUGAUGGUGACAGGUCGAAUUAAUCUAACAGAUACUAGUGAAGAAAUCAAGAAACAAGAGUAGACACCAUUUGACCAACUGUGCUUACAUUUACAGUCUACUUGUGCAACAGUUGUAAUUGAUGUCCAUAUUACAUUGUAGUAUGAUAAUACUUUACAGCAUCCACAGAAUUUCAUCUUAGUCAUCAAUGCCUCUCAUUUCUUAAUAAAUUGCAUUUGUUAUUUUG